CCCAACUAUCCCUAUUAAUCAUUACGGUGAUCCUAGAAACCAACAAAAUAGAAUCAAACGUCCUAUUUCAUUAUUCCAUGCUAAUGUAUUCAAGCGUGAGCCUGCUUUAAACACUCUAAUUUUUUCAAAGUAACGGUCCUGAUUCCCCAAGACACCAAAUUAAUGACAUCAAGGUUCUUCAGAAGGGAGAAAUCAAUAAUGCCAGUGCGUACCGAGGCACGACCAACAAUUUGAUCUCGAAAUUCAACUACGAGCUUUUUAACUGCAACAACUUUAAUAUACGCUAUUGGAGCUGGAAUUACCGCGGCUGCUGGCACCAGACUUGCCCUCCAA
rnacentral:misc_RNA from 1 species